rnacentral:rRNA from 1 species
UACGAAGGGGGCUAGCGUUGUUCGGAAUUACUGGGCGUAAAGCGCGCGCAGGCGGUUCUCCAAGUCAGUGGUGAAAGCCCGGAGCUCAACUCCGGAAUUGCCAUUGAAACUGUUGAACUCGAGGACGAGAGAGGUGAGUGGAAUUCCCAGUGUAGAGGUGAAGUUCGUAGAUAUUGGGAAGAACACCGGUGGCGAAGGCGGCUCACUGGCUCGUUUCUGACGCUCAGGCGCGACAGCGUGGGGAUCAAACAGG